UACGUAGGGGGCGAGCGUUGUCCGGAUUUAUUGGGCGUAAAGAGCGUGUAGGCGGUUCGGUAAGUCUGUCGUGAAAUCCUGAGGCUCAACCUCGGGCGUGCGAUGGAUACUGCCGGGCUAGAGGGUGGUAGAGGCGAGUGGAAUUCCCGGUGUAGCAGUGAAAUGCGUAGAGAUCGGGAGGAACAUCAGUUGCGAAGGCGGCUCUCUGGACCAGCACUGACACUGAGGCACGAAAGCGUGGGGAGCAAACAGG
rnacentral:rRNA from 1 species